AUUGAACGCUGGCGGCAUGCUUUACACAUGCAAGUCGAACGGUAACAGGCCGCAAGGUGCUGACGAGUGGCGAACGGGUGAGUAAUGCAUCGGAACGUGCCCAGUCGUGGGGGAUAACUGCUCGAAAGAGCAGCUAAUACCGCAUACGAUCUAUGGAUGAAAGCGGGGGACCGUAAGGCCUCGCGCGAUUGGAGCGGCCGAUGUCAGAUUAGGUAGUUGGUGGGGUAAAGGCCCACCAAGCAAACGAUCUGUAGCUGGUCUGAGAGGACGACCAGCCACACUGGGACUGAGACACGGCCCAGACUCCUACGGGAGGCAGCAGUGGGGAAUUUUGGACAAUGGGGGCAACCCUGAUCCAGCAAUGCCGCGUGCAGGAAGAAGGCCUUCGGGUUGUAAACUGCUUUUGUACGGAACGAAACGGUCUGGGUUAAUACCCUGGGCUAAUGACGGUACCGUAAGAAUAAGCACCGGCUAACUACGUGCCAGCCGCCGCAGUAACAC
rnacentral:rRNA from 1 species